CCCCUGGAUUAUAAUGAGAGUUCAGGUAAAGAACCCCCGGCUAACUCCGUGCCAGCAGCCGCGGUAAUACGGAGGGGGUUAGCGUUGUUCGGAAUUACUGGGCGUAAAGCGCGCGUAGGCGGACUGGAAAGUUGGGGGUGAAAUCCCAGGGCUCAACCCUGGAACUGCCUCGAAAACUAUUGGUCUUGAGUUCGAGAGAGGUGAGUGGAAUUCCGAGUGUAGAGGUGAAAUUCGUAGAUAUUCGGAGGAACACCAGUGGCGAAGGCGGCUCACUGGCUCGAUACUGACGCUGAGGUGCGAAAGUGUGGGGAGCAAACAGGAUUAGAUACCCUGGUAGUCCACACCGUAAACGAUGAAUGCCAGACGUCGGGUAGCAUGCUAGUCGGUGACACACCUAACGGAUUAAGCAUUCCGCCUGGGGAGUACGGUCGCAAGAUUAAAACUCAAAGGAAUUGACGGAGGGG
rnacentral:rRNA from 1 species